rnacentral:lncRNA from 1 species
GCCAACAAAGGAAAACCCCAUAGAGGUCGAUUAAUGCAAAUGAGACUCAAAUGUGCAAGUGUGGAAGUGUAUGAAAGAAAUUAAAAAUCCAAGUGUUUGUUUGCAAGUGUAUGGAAAGGUGCACGUGUGCAAUUGUAUGAAAAUUCCAAGUGUUUGUGUGCAAGUGUAUGAAAUAUAGUGAGAAGUGCGUAUAGGUGUAAUUAAAUGCAAUUUUGUGAAGUAGAAAUCAAAAUGAACAAUAAGGAAAGGAAAAUGUGAAUUGAAAAGAAUGAGUGAGUGAUAAAUGAGAAUGAACGAACCUAAGGGAAUGCAUCAGGUCGGGUGUGGGAAUGACUCCUAACUUUUUCGACUUCGAUUUUCCCUUUGAUUAGAAGGCAAAACUAGCGUGCUAAGGCUAUCGAG